CGAGACCUCAGGUCAGGCGGGGCUACCCGCUGAAUUUAACCUAUCAAUAAGCGGAGGAAAAAGAACCUACCAAAGGAUUCCCUUUAAUUAAACGG
rnacentral:rRNA from 1 species